rnacentral:rRNA from 1 species
GAUGAACGCUGGCGGCGUACUUAACACAUGCGAGUCGAACGGUGAACGAGGGAGCUUGCUCCCUCCGGAUCAGUGGCGAACGGGUGAGUAACACGUGAGCAAUCUGCCCUGGACUCUGGGAUAAGCGUUGGAAACGACGUCUAAUACCGGAUACGAGGCGUGGGGGCAUCCCCAACGCCUGGAAAGAACUUCGGUCCAGGAUGAGCUCGCGGCCUAUCAGCUAGUUGGUGAGGUAACGGCUCACCAAGGCGACGACGGGUAGCCGGCCUGAGAGGGUGACCGGCCACACUGGGACUGAGACACGGCCCAGACUCCUACGGGAGGCAGCAGUGGGGAAUAUUGCACAAUGGGCGCAAGCCUGAUGCAGCAACGCCGCGUGAGGGACGACGGCCUUCGGGUUGUAAACCUCUUUUAGCAGGGGAGAAGCGAAAGUGACGGUACCUGCAGAAAAAGCACCGGCUAACUACGUGCCAGCAGCCGCAGUAACAC